AGUGAACGCUGGCGGUAGACCUAACACAUGCAAGUCGAACGGCAGCACAGUAAGAGCUUGCUCUUACGGGUGGCGAGUGGCGGACGGGUGAGGAAUACAUCGGAAUCUACUUUUUCGUGGGGGCUAACGUAGGGACACUUACGCUAAUACCGCAUACGACCUACGGGUGAAAGCAGGGGAUCUUCGGACCUUGCGCGAUUGAAUGAGCCGAUGUCGGAUUAGCUAGUUGGCGGGGUAAAGGCCCACCAAGGCGACGAUCCGUAGCUGGUCUGAGAGGAUGAUCAGCCACACUGGAACUGAGACACGGUCCAGACUCCUACGGGAGGCAGCAGUGGGGAAUAUGGGACAAUGGGCGCAAGCCUGAUCCAGCCAUGCCGCGUGGGGGAAGAAGGCCUUCGGGUUGUAAAGCCCUUUUGUUGGGAAAGAAAAGCAGCAGGUUGAUACCCCGCUGUUCUGACGGUACCCAAAGAAUAAGCACCGGCUAACUUCGUG
rnacentral:rRNA from 1 species